GUUCGCUUAAGAGACAAAGUUUGGUCGCUCUCGGAUCCCGUAGUUGUUCAUCAAGUUUUCCUGUAUCGACCUUCUCUGACCACCAGAGGGAAAGUGCUGGAAGGACAAAAUGCUCUGUCUCAUGGAUAGCAACUAUUGAUGGACCAAUGGACAAUAAUCUUUGGUAUGUGCACAGACACAGAGAGAGAAGAUGUAUGGAGGAAAGCUGAUCUCAGAUAUUGAGAUGACUGCGUUUCAGAGAAUGGUCUUCAUCGUAUAGAGGACCAGGAUUCAUCAUUUGAAGGACCAGAUAAAGCCGUGGAGCUGCUGUAGGGGUGCUCGGGAAGUGAAACAACUCGAGUCUUGGGACAAGACAUUUGAAGCCAUCUGCAGAGAUGCAUCGAGGACAUGGUCGAAAGGGAGAAUUUUGCAUCUGAUCACCUUGAAACAAAUGCUUCAAGACAUUCCUGAACAAUAUUAAGGCAUGCCUCGAAAAAAAGCAGUUAGCUAUACCUUUGUGAUAUCUUGUUGGCCAAUAUGUUCAAUAAAAGGUUAAAUGUAA